rnacentral:rRNA from 1 species
UACAAAACUAAAAGAGUGGCGACCGGCGCACGGGUGAGUAACACGUACCCAACCUGCCGAUAACGUCGGGAUAGCCUUCGAAAGAAAGAUUAAUAUCCGAUAGUAUAUUAAAACCGCAUGGUUUUACUAUUAAAGAAUUUCGGUUAUCGAUGGGGAUGCGUUCCAUUAGUUUGUUGGCGGGGUAACGGCCCACCAAGACUACGAUGGAUAGGGGUUCUGAGAGGAAGGUCCCCCACAUUGGAACUGAGACACGGUCCAA